rnacentral:rRNA from 1 species
GACAGAGGGGGCAAGCGUUGCUCGGAAUCACUGGGCGUAGAGGGCGCGUAGGCGGGAUGGCAAGUCAGUCGUGAAAUCUCUCGGCUCAACCGAGAAACGUCGGCUGAUACUGCCGUUCUUGAGGGAUGCAGAGGAGACUGGAAUUCCCGGUGUAGCGGUGAAAUGUGUAGAGAUCGGGAGGAACACCGGUGGCGAAGGCGGGUCUCUGGGCAUUUCCUGACGCUGAGGCGCGAAAGCGUGGGGAGCAAACGGG